GCGGUGAGUGCUUUGGGGUGGGGUGACUGCGUACCUUUUGUAUAAUGGGUCAGCGACUUAUAUUCUGUAGCAAGGUUAACCGUAUAGGGGAGCCGAAGGGAAACCGAGUCUUAACUGGGCGUUAAGUUGCAGGGUAUAGACCCGAAACCCGGUGAUCUAGCCAUGGGCAGGUUGAAGGUUGGGUAACACUAACUGGAGGACCGAACCGACUAAUGUUGAAAAAUUAGCGGAUGACUUGUGGCUGGGGGUGAAAGGCCAAUCAAACCGGGAGAUAGCUGGUUCUCCCCGAAAGCUAUUUAGGUAGCGCCUCGUGAACUCAUCUUCGGGGGUAGAGCACUGUUUCGGCUAGGGGGUCAUCCCGACUUACCAACCCGAUGCAAACUGCGAAUACCGAAGAAUGUUAUCACGGGAGACACACGGCGGGUGCUAACGUCCGUCGUGAAGAGGGAAACAACCCAGACCGCCAGCUAAGGUCCCAAAGUCACAGUUAAGUGGGAAACGAUGUGGGAAGGCUCAGACAGCCAGGAUGUUGGCUUAGAAGCAGCCAUCAUUUAAAGAAAGCGUAAUAGCUCACUGGUCGAGUCGGCCUGCGCGGAAGAUGUAACGGGGCUAAACUGUGCACCGAAGCUGCGGCAGCGACGCUUAUGCGUUGUUGGGUAGGGGAGCGUUCUGUAAGCCUGCGAAGGUGUCCUGUGAGGGAUGCUGGAGGUAUCAGAAGUGCGAAUGCUGACAUAAGUAACGAUAAUGCGGGUGAAAAGCCCGCUCGCCGGAAGACCAAGGGUUCCUGUCCAACGUUAAUCGGGGCAGGGUGAGUCGACCCCUAAGGCGAGGCCGAAAGGCGUAGUCGAUGGGAAACGGGUUAAUAUUCCCGUACUUGGUGUUACUGCGAAGGGGGGACGGAGAAGGCUAUGUUGGCCGGGCGACGGUUGUCCCGGUUUAAGCGUGUAGGCUGGUUUUCCAGGCAAAUCCGGAAAAUCAAG
rnacentral:rRNA from 1 species